rnacentral:tRNA from 1 species
AGGUGGAUAGCUCAGUUGGUAGAGCAAUAGUCACUUCCGCUUUUUACCCUGCCUUAUUUAUCUUCUUUAAGCCGGAUGUCGUAGAUAAGCGUUACUUCGUUCUGAAAUCUGCAUACGGGGGUUCGAUUCCCUCUUCGCCCG